rnacentral:lncRNA from 1 species
AAAGUAUGGUUUGUCGAUUCAUCUCCAAAUCCAGUUCCUCAUGUGAAGAUGCACUUGAAUCCAUGGACAAUAGCGUAGAAGGGUGAUGAUUCUCCAUUGACAAAGAAGCAAAACAGCAGGAAUCGCCAAUGCUACCUCAUCAUCAUCAUCAUCUUGUUGAUGAGUUUCAUUGCUGGUUGAUACAAUAUUGCCAUCCCAAAAAUAAUUCAACAAAACAGUAACAUACUUAUAAACAACUUCAUCAUCAUCAUCAUAUCAAUCCCCACUAUAUCUCCCUUCCAUCAAACCCCUAUAUUUAUCAAUUCAAUUUGAGAAAAAAAACAAAAAACAAAUCAACAAAUCCAAACUAUUUAAAUUAAUGUAUUUUUCUUCUAUUUUCUUUAUAAAUCAAUAAAUAAACAUACUCAUCAACAAUAAACAUAACUAUAUAAAUAUCAAUAUAGGUAUGUAUGUAUAUAACAGUGAUAUUUCUCUUAAAUCUAUGCAAAUUUUGAAAAGAGAAUUAUAUUGAAGCCUCCAAAAUGAAUGAUAUCCAUAAAUCAGAAAUGAAAAAGAGAAGCUCUAUCAGAGAGAGAGAUCUUGAAGGAUUAUCAUAAUUACCUUUUAGGAUAAGCAUCAGAGAAUCGGGAAGAACAAGAACCACGAUAGAUGCGCCUCAUAUUAUCAUCGACAACCAUAUUUUCUAGGAAUGUUAAUUUUUACAUUAAUUUUAAUAUUAUUUUUUCCCAAAUGGAAAACCCUAAUUUUGGUGUUGGUGUUGUUCUUCUUAUAAGAAAGAAGGGUAUGAAAAAAGGAGAGAAGAAAGUAAUUUUAUUUUCUUUUUUAUUUAUUAGUGAAGAAAAGAAAAAGAAGAGUGAGAGAGAGAGGGAGAGAAGAAGAAGCGUAAAUGAGCGUAUGAUUAUAAGGAGAAGUUCGUAGGAUGAAGCCUUCACUGGAUAACACCAUCCAUCCUUCUUUCUUUUGGACCACACCGUUUGUUUACAGUGACGGUGCAUCUUCGUAUGUCUACUUUAUCAUAAUCAUCAUCGUAUAUUAAUUAUACUUAAGUCUUCAAUUUUAAUUUCUCUUCUCCAAUCACCAAUAAAAUUCCAUGUUAAAAAUGUCAACAAAAAAAAAAAUUCUUUUAUACCGCUCAAUAUUCCAAUUUUGUCCUUCCAAACAAUUUGAUUCGCAUAAAUCGAAUUUUUUCUAGAGCAAAUUCAAAGUAAAUUUCAAUUUUUAAAAACCGAAUUUUUUUUAUGGCAAGAAAAGAAUUCGAUUUCUAGAAACAUAUGCUCUAGUAAUGUGAAAUUGCGUACAUAAAAUAAUAUAAAAAGGCAAUGCUUAAUUUAUAACAAAAUUUAUAUCAUUUAAGUAAAAUGACGUAAUAAUAAAAUAUAUUUGAUGCAAUUAUGGAAAUUUUGCAAUAAACAUAUAAGAAAAUUAAGAUAAUCUUAACUUGCUUGCUAAGAAAAAUAAUUAUAUAUAUGAUACAUGUCAUGUUUUGUGUUUAAAAAUAUGAUUAUAUUGUUGAUAUAAAAAAAAUACAUGAUUAUAUUAUUUUAAAAUAUUUUACAAAGAGUAAAAAUGAAUUUUAGUUAAAUAAUAAGGGUAAAAGUUGGAAAAAAAUGAUAAAUUAUAUAUAAGCUAUAUGUUCAUAAACUAUUUAAAAUAGCGUCUGAAAAAUAAGCUACAAGUAAGUAAAGAAUAAUAAUUAUUUAAAAAAAUGUUGUGAUUCUUGUAAAGAAUUUUUAUUUUAGUUACUUGAAAUUUGUUUAUCUUCUUUCUAAAGAAACAAGAUAGGUGGAGGACGGGGACGGAUAGUAGUUCCAACGUAGUUGAAAUGUCUAUCCCACCCUGACAUUUGGAUACUCUUAAUUUAUAAAAAAAAAAAAAACAAUGAAAAAGAUUAUUAACACAUAAUAAUACUCAUACAUUUCAAUUUCAAUUUAACAACAAAAGUCAACACAUUUAUUUUCCUUCUUUUCACCAAAAUAUAAUACUAUCCAUACAUUUCUCUUAAGAAAAAUUUUCAUAACUACAUUUUAUUUCUAAUCAAAACAAAGAAUUAAAAAGACUCUUUUAUAUUUGAUAAUUAAAAAUAUUUAUAUAAUUUUCUUAUUUACUAACGGCAUGAAUAUCCUUGGAUAUGGAUACCAUUAAAUCCGCACUCGUAUCCAUUAACUAUAUUGUAGUUGAAAUAUCAAUUUAUUUUAUCCGUGGAUAUCCAUUAGACUAUCCGCUCCAUGUUUUUUGGCGGAUUUUAUCUGCUAAUACCGCAAUAACAGAUAUUUUUGUCAUCCCACUUGUAACACCCCAAAUUUUAGAAAUAAUCAUCUUAUUAUAAUAUGUUUGAUUUUAAUGCGAUUAUGUUUAUUGGGUUAUUUAACGGGAUAGAAGUGUUAAUUUAGUGAAAGAAAAAAAACAUAAAUUAGAAUUUAUUUAAUUUAACAAUUAAUUUUUUUUUUACAGCAUUUAACAAUUAAUGUUAGAAUGGAAUUCCUAUUCACACCACUUCCUACACCCUACUCUUCUACUAAUAGCACUAUUCUGUUUUCUAACAUUAUUUCUUUAAUUAGAGAGAUUAAAAGUGGAGGUGUGAAAAAGCCCAGUAGAAUUGGAGGGGUAUAGAAUAGUAAGUCUGUAGAAAAUAAUGAAAAUAGAAGAUAAGAGAUUAAUAUGACUUUGGGAGGAAGUCAACCUAAUUGAAUCUCUAUAAAUAGGUGUUAAAAGCAUAAAAUUAGGAUUAACGAUCACAACUCAAGAUUUUAGAAAGAAAAAAAUAAAACUCAUAAACUUAGAAACAAAAAUGAGAGGCACACUAGGAUUGGAGAGGAAGAACAUAAAGGGAUUCAAGCAAGGAAUUCAAAAACUUUAUGCAAAAAUUUAAGGUAGGGUAGGGGGUGCCUGAGUUCACAUAUAGGGCCGGAUAUUGACCACAAGAAUAGUAGAGGGGUCCUUGCCAUCCUUUCCUUUUCCCACGUGCUUUUGAACUAAUCUGUGAUAAUUUUGUUAGUGUUGUUGUGUCUAACUUGCAAUUUCGUUCUGUUUUUAAUGAUUAAAUUUCAUAUGAAUCGAUUCUAAAAUUUGAUGUCUUUGAGUUAAAAGUUGUUGUUGUUUUGAAGUUGUGUUUAUAAAAGUGAAUUUGUGAAUUUAAUAAUUCUAAUCACUAGUUUUACAAGAAUUAGUGUUUCUGAGAUAUAUUAGGCUGGCAUAAGUACUGAUUUCUUGGAAUUUUGAGACCAUCUGGGAUGAAGUACUUGGAGCCUUGGGUGGGUGAGGAUUCAGAGUCAAAAUCACGUCCACUACUCUAUUUUAUAUGGGUUCUGAAUUUGAGCGCUCACCUAGAGAGACUUUGGCUUGCCUAGCGAGCCUGUAUUUACUGGGCAUGGAUUUGAGUGUUCGCCUAGCAAGACUCUCCAGCCUGUAUUUUAUGGGCAAGAAUUUGAGUGCAAAAGAUGAUAUUUUUAGCUUCCAGAUCACGAUGUAAAAGAUGAUAUUUUGUAGAUUUUCACCUCAAAUUGUGUGUUUUUUUUAAAAAAAAUCUUGACGUAUUUUUCACUGAGUUUCAUUCCUAAGCUUUUACAUAAAUACUACUAAUUAUUACAUUUUAACUACUAAAAUUAUCCUAAAAGAAAUUAUACCAGAAGUGACAGAACAACUUAAAUUUCUACCAUUGACAUGUUGAUUAUUUUAUUUAGCGGCUAAGAUUUAAAAAGGGCAAAAAGGAGUUAAAAUCAAAUAUAUUUAUAUAUUUAUAUAAUAAUUAACUUAAAUAUCGAAUUAAAGUCGAUGCACUCGUGUCGCACGGGUCUUUCAACUAGUUUAUAAAUAAAAUGGUUCUUGACUAAUUUUUAUUUUUGCUGAAAUGUGAAAAAGAGAGAUCCACAUUUACAUCUUCUUCUCAACAAAUACCUAUUCAUUCUUCAUUUUUUUUUUUGCAACAAGUCUAUUUUACUACCACUACCAGUCUACCACCAUUCCAUAUUUUUUGAGUAUUAGUUGUAUGGGUUUUCUAAAAUGUAUUAUUUUUCUGCAAUUUUUAUGUGGAUAUUUUAAAUUUGAACACCCCUAAAAUACACUAGCCGAAAACAAUGGUGGAUAGUUUUUUUUGGUUACUUUAAAAUAUAAUAAGAAAAUGCUAAAUAGUGCAUUGAUGCACUCUUUAAACACCUUAAAUAGUAAAAUUUUGUGAAAUAUUUAUGAAAAUGUGUGAAGUCAACACAUUAAAAAUUUGAAUAUUUUACUAUUUGAAUAAAUAUUUUUUUUAAAUGAAAUCUUAAAGCAUAUUCCGGAAACAAUUGUUAACAAGACUCAAUAUAAUAAUGCAAUAGUCAAGAGAGAGGCAAGGCUCUUAAUAUUUUAAUAGGUUUCACCGCCACUGCUAGUAAGAAUUAGUAAUACUAAUAGGUCUUCCCACCUUAAACCUUCACCUAGUUUUAAAGGUGAGAAUUAUAAUAUGGCAAAUGUUAAUGAAGGUAUCCGUCACAUUUUUUAAGAUCUUAAAUAGUAUUUCCUCCUGUCCUAAGUAUAAGAAAAUUUUCAUUUUUUAGGUUCAUUAGAAAACCAAUGUAUUUUGAUUAUAUUAUAGUUUAGAUACAUUAGCAUUCCAAUGUACCUAAAAAGUAAAAGUUCUCUUAUAAUUAAGACUAGAGGAAGUACUCUUUGCUUUGGUACCCGCCUUGAUAUCUCAAUCUUGCAAGGCACGACAAGCAUUGGAACGAACUCCUAAGUUUUUAUGGAAAUGCGUAAAGUCAACGCAUUGGAAAUUAUAGUGUUUAAUUUUUUAAAUAAAAAAUUUCUUUAAAUAAAAUGCUUAAAUAGUAUCUCCAGGACAUUUGUUAACAAAACUAUUAUAAUAUUGAUGGAAAAUUGGUGCGUUUUGUUUCUAUGUUUGUCACUUGUUCCUAAUGAUGAGAAAUAAGUUGCUAGACUUAGUCAAAGGAAAUAUAAGACUAGUACUAAAGAUAUAGAUUAUUGUAGUGAAUGAAUUAAGAUAAUAGAGAAUCGCAAAAAACUAUUAGGUCUGAUCUUGAGAAGUUUAGGUAGUAUAUGUAUGGGAUUUUAGUAUCGAUCUUCAUUAACAACAUUGUAAACAAUAAAUAAAUAAAUGAGAAUGACCAAAAUUAUGAUUAAACACGGUUAUGUCGAAAAAACAACAUAAAAAUAAUUUUUCAAAUAACUUUUGAAAUAAAACUCUAAAAAUAACAAUAAUUAUAAGAUUUUAACUAUCAAAACUAUCCUAAAAUUAUCACAUGAUGGACUAUCAUCAGAGCCAAAUAUAACUUAGGCUUAAAUGCAAUUUUAGUUCUCUAUUUUUAAUUUUUUAAAGUUUUAGUUCCUCUAUUUUAAAAAUCAACUUUUUAAUCCUCUAUUUUCAUUUUUUUAUAGUUUUGGUCUCCCUUUCCAUUUUAUCAACGUUAUUUACUGAAUAUUUCAUUUAUUUAAUAUAAUUAUUUAUGAAUUUUUAUUUAUCUCUAUAAAAAUUAAAAACUUUUGUAAGAAUAUUUGUCAAAACAAUUUAUUUUCUCAAAAAUAACUUUUAAAUCGAAAAAGCUGAAAUCAUCAAACAAUUUUAUGUUUAUCUUUAAAGUUUUUAUUUUUAGCAUUAACUUCAAAAUAACUUUUAUGACUAAAAAUAGCUAAGGCAAACACACCCAAAUUAUGUUUAUAAGAUUUUUUUAGUCAUAAAUAUAUAUUAGAAAAAUUAAACACACUUAUUCCGGUACGAGGUACUUUAAUUCCUUUGACUAAAUGGCGUUAUAUUUUUUCUGCACUUUUUUUUUUUUUGUGUGUAAAGAGUUUUANNNNNNNNNNNNNNNNNNNNNNNNNNNNNNNNNNNNNNNNNNNNNNNNNNNNNNNNNNNNNNNNNNNNNNNNCAAAAAAAAAAAAAAAAAAAAAAAAGGAAGUUAAGGGCAAUUAUGGAAUAAUUAAAAAACCAUAAAGGAAGUUAAGGGCAAAAUGGACCAAAAAAAAUCCAGCCCAAACUCUCUUAUCCCCUUUAUAUAUUGUUAUAGAUAAAUUAUUAUAUGACGCUUUUUUUUUUUGUGUGUAAAGAGUUUUAUAUCAUAUAAAUUAUAUAAAUUAUUAUAUGACGCAAAAGUAAAACUAAAAUAGAAUGCGUUUCCUAUCAUGAAUUUCUUCUUUUUCUGGUGGGAUGAGCUAUAUAUCUCUGUUGCAUCACGAUGGAAAGUUGAAUUACUUUAUUUGUUAGGAGGAACCUUGCAUGAUGGUUCCUUAUAUUUACGGGUGUAUAAUAUUACAUUAUUACAUAUAAGAUAAGAUAUAAGUUGUAUGCCUUUCCUAAAAUUGGUACACUUAUAUCAUCUUAUAAAAUUCAAUAAUUGUCACUUUUUCCCUUUUCAUCCUCCAACUAAACAAAGCUAACUACCCUUGUCAAGAAAAUAAACAAAGUUAAUUUAUAUCAUAUCAUUGUAAUUAGUCACAAUGUAAAGUGCGACAUACUCCACAGUCCACACAACAAAAAAGUGCGACAUGUAAAUCUCUUUGAGUUCUCUCUCUCACUUGCACAGCCGCCCCUCUUCCCCAUCAACCCUAGCUUUUUUCUUUUGUUCAUCUACAUUUUUGACCCAAAAUCACCCCUCUAAAUUGUUUUUGCUUUUCAUUUCAUUUAAAUAAGUGAUUAUUCACAUAUAUUUGCUUUUCCGAUUUUUGUUUUUUAAGUUUGUUGUCAUCUUGUGUGGUGUUGUGUUUGUGGUCGUUUUGUGCAGCGUUGUGUUUGUCGUCGUCUUGUGCGACAUUUGUUGGUUUUUCAUUUUAGUACGAUGUUUCGUUGAUUCAAAUUGACAUAUCUACCUCAACUCAUUACAGGUCUGAUGAAAACUUGGACGUCAACGUUGCAGAUUCGGGAGUAUGAAGAUUCCGAUUACUUUUAUUUUGUUAUAUUUGUAGGCAAAUUCAUGAUACCGUUAUAUGCUAUUAAUCUAGGUGCUGCAAGAUUGUUUGUAAAUUCACCUUUUUCAGUUUUUAGCAAUUUUGAAUUUGUAAUGAUCGGUGUAUUUUCAAUUUGAAUGAAUACAUAUUUUUAGUAAAUAAAGACCAUUUUUUUUUGGUUAAUAUAAAGACAAACUUUUUAUCAUCCAAUAAAGUUAUCCUCACAUUACAUCAAUGAUAAUGGCUGCAUGACCCAUUAAAUGAGAAAGCCAAUUAAAUAAAUAAAUAACCGUUAAAAAAAAGUGUUAACGUGUGCUCUAGGCAAGGUUGUGAAAAUCGGACCGGACCAAACCAGUUGGUCGAACUGAUUCAACCGGAAACCGGUGAAAGCAACACAUAUUCCCACAUAAACAGAUCGGUUUUAGAGUAGAAGAAGAAGAUCUUAAAUACCAUGUCCUCUGCUUUUAGUUGUGGACACAUAGCCACUCUCUCCAAUGCUAAACAUGAUAUCAUAAACUAUUGUACCCUUCAAAUACCUGAAAAUUGACUAGACGACUUCCCAAUGACUCUUGGUUUUAACAUAAACUAGCAAACUUGACUUACAACUUGUGUCAAAUCUAUUGUAGUGGAAACCAUAUCCUUUGACAUAUACUCAACUUCUGCAAUUUCCUUCAGACAUUGAUCCAAUGAGAGCUUAAAGUGCUUCGCUAAUGGAGCACUCUCACAACCAUCAAAUUGUUCAUGUCAAAUUUGUCUAACACCUUUUCAAUAUAUCCUUUUUGAAAGAGCCAUAAUUUUAUAGCAUUAAAUCAUUCCUGUAAAUAAUUAACAGCAAUCAACAUAUCAUCAACAUAUAAUAACAGGAAAAUAAAAGAGUCACCAUCAAGGUUCCUAAGGUAAACACAACAAUCACACUCACACCUACUGUAGCUUAUCUGAAACAUGUAUGAAUCAAAGCACUUGUACCACUGCUUUGGUGACUGCUUUAAACCAUAUAAAGACCUCUUCAAUUUGCUCAUCUAGAUUACCGAAAAGAAAUAAUGUUUUCACAUCCAUCUUCUUUAAAUGCAUGUCCUGACAGGCUAUCAGGGCUAACAUUGCCUUGAUGAGUAUGUCCGAUGACAAAAGAGAAAAUAUUAUCAUAGUCAAUCCCCUUACAUUGUGGGUACCUCUUUGCUACAAGUCGAGUCUUAAAUUUUUUCCCUUGUUUUCUGCUAUUGUGAUAAGGCACGACACACAUAGAUAACAUGCACAAACAUUAUGCACAAAUACAUACACAAAUACAAGUCAACCAUACAUUAAUAUUGGAUUAUGAACUUCAAUUAAUUGCCAUUGUAAACAAAUGGGUCUAUAAAAAUUAUUAACAUUUCAUAGCGAAAUUCUUGGAAUAUAAUUAAAGGAAAUUGCUUAAUAGUGCGAGAGUAUGAUUCAUGAAAAUAUGCUAAUGACAUGGUUUGAAAUUGGGAAAAUAAUUGGCAAACUCUUUGACCAAUUUCUCAUCAUAUUUAAAACAGAGGUAACUACUAGACAGUACAAUAAAAUUGAUUCACUCUUUUGUUAGAUUCUUUAUCUGGCUUCACCACUCUCUCACAACAAAGCACACUAUGCUCAAUUGAUCUUUUGUUAGAUUCUUUAUCUGGCUUCACCACUCUCUCACAACAAAGCACACUAUGCUCAAUUGAGUGUAUGCUAAUUUACUUCAUGCUUGGCUCUUUACUUGGCAUAGUCUGUAUAUUGACUUAGCAACAAUGUUGGUUUGACAACUUCUCUGUUGACGUAUAAUUGUCUCUAUUGAUCCAUUGUGUAAACUGCAUAAUGUAACCCAUGAGUUUUCCUUCAAUGUCCUAAAAAGGCGUUUUCUAGUGAUCUGAUCAUUGAAAUAUACACUUUAUGAAUACUGUUCCAUCGUAGAGCUGUUAAAAUCUAUGCACAUUUGAAAAUCUCCAUUAUAUAUGAUGUAAAAAUGCAUUACUCUCACUGCAUUAUAAUGUUGUGAUUGAUGAUAGUAGUGCAAGGUGAAACAGACUAAGCAUGGCUACUAACUAGAACACUCAAAUCUCUAAAACACAACCAAAUAACCAAACUAAGAGCAACACAGUUCCAUUUAAGUUUAACCAUGACAAAGAAAUCCAAAUCAGAAAAAGCAAUGCUCAUACUAAACCAAUUAUAGCAACAUAAAUUAACGAUCAGGCCUAUGCAAUUCAAUUGAAUCAUAUAAACUAUAAUAUAUUGUAUCAACCACAAAAUAUAGUUCAAUCAUACCUCAUUAUCAUUUGGAGCAUGCGUUGAUGAAGAAAAAUACCAUGUUUUCUCUUAUAACAACAAAGACUUUAUUCCCUGUUCGAUGUCUAAAUUUCAGUUGAGCUAUAUUUUGGGCAUUUUGAUGACUUACUUUCUAUAUUCAGCGAAACAUAAAUUUUUUUAACAUUCCAAAUUUGGUUUCCUUUGGUGUAUGCAUAAUCUAGAAAAAAACCAAGAUCAUUUUGGUACUCAUCAGUCUCUCUAUCCAAUUUUAUCCAUUACUUGUCCAUUGGGUUUACGAGGAGACUACUGUAUAUAUGGAAAAUAAUUUCAAAGGAAGUUAGUACAUGUUUGAUAAAAAUGUAAAGGCUCCCAUAGAGGCUCUUAUUUAUAAAACCCUAUACUUUGUUGUACCUAUUUAGACAUAGUAUUCCUAAUUAUACAGUCAGUUUCACUUUCAGUUUCAAAUUGGGAGGUUAGGUUAGGCACACACAUUUAGUGUCAAAUAAAAAUAUUGGGUGGUUAGGCUAACAUAUGACAAUCAUAUACUUAAAUAGAUAAAUUAUUUUUCUGAAGUACUAUUUAAAAUUUCACUUGCAUCUAUGCAGGUUUAUGACUAUUGAACAAUGGAACAUACCUUCGUGAAGAGUACUCUCUCUUANNNNNNNNNNNNNNNNNNNNAAAAAAAAAAAAAACUAAAUUUCUACCCUUUUCACCUCCCAUAUAAGAUUUGAAAAUGAAUAGAAGAGUCAGUACCUUGCAAGAAUAGAUGUCGGAAAGAAUAGCUUUUUGUCGAGACGAGACGAAGAGGGGAGAAGAAUCUGAGUUUGUGAGCACAGUCAACACAACAACGAACAUAUUAGGGAGAAAAAUCUGAGCUCAAUCAGGGAUUUUGUGACUCAAAAUUUUACUGAAUUGGGAUUUUGGGGAUGAAUCAGUUUGAGAAGAAGAAGGAUAAGAAAAUAUACGGGCUGUUUAUUUGAGAUUUCAAUAAAAUUAUAUAUUUUUUUAAAAUUAUUUUCAAGAAAAUCAUUUUUUUUUACAGAUUUUGGAAAAAAUUUAAAGUUGUUUACCAUCAUUAAAAUCUAUUUAUUUUUUUUAAGAUGGUGAGUGAUGAUGAACGAUAAAAAAAAUGGAUUUUGAUAAAAGCUAUUGAAAAUAGAUUCUCAUUUUAAUGAAAAAAAUAUUUUUUUUAUUAAAAUAUUUUUUGAAAAAAUUUGAAACAAACACAAGUAAGAUAAAAUAAUAGAUUUUUUUUACGUAAAGUAACGCUUCUUUGGGAAGAAGUUUCUUUUAUUUAUUUUGUUUUCAAAAUUUCACAAACAAACAACAAAACAGUUGUUUACGUAGGAAUUUGGUAAACAACCACUAGUUUAAGUAUUUAAACUCGAGAGAUCAACUAGUAAAUCUCAGGACAAUUUUGUGUUUUGUUUACUUAGAAAAAUGUUUGAGUGUUCGUCUAAAAAAUAUAACAAACACUUAAGAAUUAAAUCUUGCGCAAACAAUAAAAGAAAAAGCUAGUUUGAAUCGCCUCGAAAUAGCAGUUUCAUGAACAGACAUCAAAUAANNNNNNNNNNNNNNNNNNNNNNNNNNNNNNNNNNNNNNNNNNNNNNNNNNNNNNNNNNNNNNNNNNNNNNNNNNNNNNNNNNNNNNNNNNNNNNNNNAUACAUCUUCUCUUCAAGAUUCCUUUCGUUCGAUCGCUGAGUACUUAGAAUUUUCAGACAAAAUUUUAUACAAAACUUUCUCUGAAAAUUCUAAGCACUCAGCGAUCGAACGAAAGGAAUCUUGAAGAGAAGAUGUAUGUUUUGUGAACCAUUUAGUUUGUAAUUGCUUUUCAUUCAAUGCAAUUUACUUUUCAGCAAUGUUCUUUAGUUUUAUUUGAUGUCUGUUCAUGAAACUGUUGUAUCGAGGCGAUUCGAACUAGCUUUUUCUUUUAUUGUUUGCGCAAGAUUUAAUUCUUAAGUGUUUGUUAUACUUUUUAGACGAACACUCAAACGUUUUUCUAAGUAAACAAAACACAAUAUUGUCUUGAGAUUUACUAGUUGAUCUCUCGAGUUUAAAUACGUAAACUAGCGGUUGUUUACCAAAUUCCUACGUAAACAACAGUAUAAUGAAAAGAAAAUAAAAUAAUAUAUAUAUAUAUAUAUAUAUAUAUAUAUAUAUAUAUNNNNNNUUUUUCCAGUACUCCUAUUUUUUUUCCGUUUUUUCCGUAAUACCCAUGUUUUGAAAAAUAUUGUCGUAAUACCCCUAUUUUAGGACAAAAACUGAAAAUAUCGCUAUGUGCAAGGUGAUGGCGGAAAUGGCAGUUCCGCCAUUGAUCUGGGCCGUUUGAUUAAUCAAACGAUUGGGAGAGUGAAGGUGCACGGUAGGCUUGAACAGGAUCAGGUGCUAUAAAUACACAAAACUUCUCAAAAAUAUCAUUUUUCUCUUUUCUUUCUCUCUCUUCUCUUUCUCACUUUCACGCUCUCUCUUCUUUUCUCUGACUCCAUCAAAUGUUCAUCACCAAACCAGAAGCCACCACUCCGGCCGCCGCCCACCACCACCUGAACCCUAAAAACCCCAAAAAAAAUAAUCCCCAAAUCACCUUUAAAAACACUUGUUUAACAGUUUUAAACUCAAAUCAAACCCAAGAACACCAAAUCUAAACAAACAAAACUAAACCCCAAAAACCAAAAAAAAUAUUGUUUCUAAUUCUUCUUUUUCUAGAACUGAAAAAUUGAAAGAAACUCAAAUCAACAACGAUCAAAAUUUCAAUUUUGUAUCCUUCUCAAAUCUGCAAUCAAGACCUCUUUUUGAGUCCAAUGUUAUAAAAAUCGGACCGGACCGGCCGGUUCGACCGGUUCGGCCGUGAACCGGACACAGCACCGGUCCGGAACAAGUACCAGACCCGCUANNNNNNNNNNNNNNNNNNNNNNNNNNNNNNNNNNNNNNNNNNNNNNNNNNNNAAAAAAAAAAAAUUCUAUUUUCAAACUAGGGUAGAGUUAUUUUUUUCACUAGAACAUAAGUGUCAAACAGAAACAUGAAAAUGCCACUGUUAUUUGUUAUAAGAAAAAGAAGAAGAAAAAAUACACGGAUGAAUUUGAGAAAUUAAGGAAUAGAUCUGUUGUAGUUACACAAUAGUUUUUUAUUUCUUGAUGGUCAUACAUAAGAAAUGAAUGAAACAGAUCUGAGUAAGAGAGAAAAAGAAGAAACAAGAAAAUAAGAAGAAAAAGAAAGAAAUUACGUGAUAGAAGAAGAUAGAAAGUGGAGUGGAGGAUGCUCACUAAUAGGAAUGAGAUGAUAUUUCAAUUCUAGGGUUUAGCUUAUAAUUGAGUUUUUGGGUCAAUACAACUUGAUAAAAUAAUGGCCCAAUAUAUUAUAAAAUAAAACUAACUUUCUUUUUUACUAUGUAAAAAAAAAAUAAAAAUCAAAUUAUUGAGUCUAAAAUUAUUAUUUAUUCUUCAGCAUUAUAUUUAUUUUUAAUUAUUCGGUUCAAUAACGGUUUAAUAGCGGUUCAACCGAUUGAACCGGUUGAACCAUGAACCGGAGCUCUCACCGGUUCGAUCUCCGGUCCGGUUUUUAAAAUAUUGUUUGAGUCAUAUCAGUGCAUGGUGUGGGAGCUUUUGUUUUGUUUCUCUGUGUUUUUUUCGGCCUGCUUCUUUGGGUUGUUAGUGUUGUUGUUUUUUUUUUCUUCUUUUGUUUUGUCUCCCUCUCAGAUCUGUGUUUUUUUCUUUGUGUUGCAGUUCAAAACCAAAACCUCCUUUUACUUCUUGGAUCGAUGGGUUUUUAUAUGGUCGUCUGUUUUUUAUGAUGGUGAUGAUGGUAUUAAUUUUUUUAAAAAAAAACAAAAAAAUGCCAUUUUUGGCAUAANNNNNNNNNNNNNNNNNNNNNNNNNNNNNNNNNNNNNNNNNNNNNNNNNNNNNNNNNNNNNNNNNNNNNNNNNNNNNNNNNNNNNNNNNNNNNNNNNNNNNNNNNNNNNNNNNNNNNNNNNNNNNNNNNNNNNNNNNNNNNNNNNNNNNNNAAAAAAAAAAAGUCUUGGUCAAUGGCGGAACUGCCAUUUCCACCAUCACCCUGCACAUGUCGACGUUGUCAGUUCCGCCAUCAAUGGGGAACUGCAACGCGUCAGGUUUUGUUCCAGAAGAAGGGGUAUUACGACAAUAUUUUCAAAACAGGGUAUUACGGAAAAAACGGAAAAAAUAGGGGGUACUGGGAAAAAAAUCGAGAGAAAUGCAUCAGAUAAGAAAGGGAAAUCUGUAUAUAAGAAAGGGAAAUCAUAGAUAAGAAAUGCAUCAUGGUAUCACUAUUUAAAAUAAGAGACAUACUGUCAUAGACAAUACAGGGUACAUAUUUCUAAUUUUAUAAAUAGAAAACUGAAAAUUCAAAAAAUGGAAAAAAGGUAAACUCUUUAGCACAAAACCGAUGCCUUUGAUAUAAUAUAUGUGGGCUUCGGAUUUGGAAUAAUUAUUACGUGGUAAUUAAUAGAAAAUGAAUGUAACGAAUUUGUUUUGGUUAGAAAUGGGGAUGUCAACGCAGACACGAUCCAACUUUUACUACUCUCAAAGUGACAAAAGAGAUUGAAGGGUGUUCUCAGGAACCCGGAAGCAAUCGAAAAAAUAACACUAUCUACAUUGGUUAAAACAUCGAGAAGGGUGGAUCAAGUUCAACUGUGAUGGAUCUCAAAAUGAUAGGGUGGCCCUUGUUGGGUGCAUGGGUUUGUUAAGGGACUCGAAUGGCAAGUGGAUCAAGGGCUACUCUCGAAAAAUUGGAUCUUGUGAUGUGUUUCACGCAGAGAUAUAGCGCAUGUACUUAGGAAUGUACCUUGCUUGGAGGCAGGGAAUCACUCAUCUCCAUGUUGAAAAUGAUUCUAAAGUGUAGAUAGAUAUGGUGAUUGAUAGAGUUAAGUUCAAUGGAAGCACCCCACUUUGGUGUUUCGCAUUAAUAGAAGCGUAGAUUGACUUGCUAAUUUUAGUUACUCUCUUGAUUCUUUUGAUAUUCAUGUUUUGGAGACUCCUCCUCGAGAGCUGCAAAAUAUGCUUUUUGACGACAUAUGGCUUGCAUGUCUAGGAAUGUUCGUGUAACUCUGUAAUUUUUUUUCUUUUGGGUUUUGCCCCUUUAUUUCACAAAAAAAAAAAGGAAAGAAAUAGGGGUGUUAAUUGUAUCUAUAAAUGGGAUUUCUGUGAGGUUUGACCCACGGAAACUCAGUCCCCGAACAUUUUAUUAAAAUAACAUUAAUAUGUAUGUAUAUAUUCAAUAUUUUAUAUAUUACGUUUAUUUAUAUUUUCACGUUCAUUGUUAUACGAAAUGUCACAAUAAUGUCUAAUAUUUUUGUUUAGUUUACACUUGAACUUUUUAGGCUAGUUUGAUUGAAGAUAUCAAAAUUUUGAUAUUUUAAUGUUGAUGGAUCCUCGCAAGAACUAUGAAGAUCCGCAGAUAUGAGAAUAAAAUACUCCCUUAAGUGGGGAAUAAAAAUAUGAAACACUUUAGAUGGUUGAGAGGGGAGUGGGAAAGUACCCUCCACUUAAUCUCCGCUCAAUUGACAUCCCUAAUUAGAAAUGUAUAAAUAUUAUGUUUUGGUAAAAAGCAGAAAACAAACGUGAUGAACUUUUUUAGUAAAAAAAAAAAUGUGAUGAACUUUUGUUGUUUAAUUGAGAAUAAAAUUUAUGAAUAAAAUAUUUUUAUUUUUCAAUAACCAUUUUUUUAAAAGAAAAUGUAAUCCAUAAAUGUUUGUAAAAUAUGCACAAAUACCUCAAAACUCGUGAAUUACCCGUUUAACUCAUACACGUACGAAAGUAAUGUGGACAAGGGUAUUAUAUUUGAGUUGGUUAGUUGGACAUGCUCUUUGUUGGUGUAAAUUUUUUUAGACAGAAGUCCAAUGAAAAUCUAUUAUUCCUCCACAUCAUACCAUUAAAUUGGGGUGUAGUGGAGUGAUUCGACGGAAUACAUGGUUGAAAUUGGAUGGCAAUGUAAAAUUAUUUUCCAAUGUCAGUGCAUAUCCCUUUUCUCAUCUAUCGGUGUAAAUUACUUCUACACAGAAGUCCAAUGAAAAUCUGUUAUUCCUCCACAUCAUACCAUUAAAGUAUGGUGUAGUGAAGUGAUUUGGCAUAAUACAUGGUUGCUAUUAGAUGACAGUGUAAGAUUAUUUUACACCGUCAAUGCAUGCCGUAUUUUCUCAUUAUAUUUACAGUUUAAUGGAGAUGGAUUGACAGUGUAAAAUAGUUUUACACGAUCAUCAAAUAAAAAAUGAUCAACUUGCCAUGUCAAAUCAAAAAAGAGGUGUGAAGUAGGCUGAUGUGGCAGAAAAAAUGGUUAUUAUUAGUUGAGAUUGUGAAAUUAUUUUACACGGUCGGUGCAUAGGGUGUAUAGUGUGGACACAAAUAUCAUACUAACUAUGUUGAUGUACCCAUUUAUAACCUAAGUGAAAGUUAACUAUGCUAUUGAGUACCCAUUUAUAUCCUAAGUGAAAGUUAACUAUGUUAUUGAAUCAUGUUAUGGUUGCAAUUUGCAAAUGCUGCUUACGGUGUCAACAAACAAAUAGAAACUACCCACUGGUAUGUGGAUAUAUAAUUCUUCUACCCAAUACAAUAAAUCAGAUAUCUCGAAGUACAAAUUGAAUAACAAGACAGUAUAACCGAUAAAACAGAAAAAUCAGUUAAAUGGUUGAAGUUAUCAAUCAAUUCUUCUUCUAUUUCAGUAAUAAACUAUUCCAGAUGUAUGAUAUGAUAAUUCCUUAUAAAUGAUAAAUGCUUACAAUCAAAAGCUUGAAGAAUGUGAUGAACCAAGGCAAUAAGUGAGCUAAACUAUGAUAAAGCACCAAACUAACAGCAUCCCUAGCAAUAUUUAAUAAUGGUCUAUCUCAAGUCAACAUAAGAUCAUUCCCUCCCAGAUGAGAGCGAAGACAAACACGGACUUCAUGUUCUUCUGGCCCAACGCGGUGUUUUGGCACCAUGAUCUCUAGCACCGAUCCUGGCUCAUCAUAGUAUGCUUCCAGAUUGGCAUCUUCAGGAAUUCUGGUUGAAAGAGAAAUUUCACGGACAAACUCCCCAGGGGGGCAGUGCUCUGAGGAUGCAUCUGUAAGCUUGAAUGUCCUAUCGCGUCUCUUGAUGAAAGGCUUUCGAGAUGUGCUCAUACAAGAAACCUUGAUGAUACCAUGAGUCAAAGUGUUCCUCCAUGAAACUUUCACACUUGCAAGGUCUACAAAGGGCAGACUGAUAAUAAUCAAGUAACCUUGUUCAUCCUCAUAGAUAGUUUUUGCAGCUGUAACCGGUCCGUAAACAUUUUUUAUCACGCCGCUGAAGUCAUUCAACCAGUGAGGUUCACUUGGGUGCAUUUCUAUAUCUUGGACCCGAUCAGAUGGAGGAUUAACAGCAAGGUAACAUUCAUCUUCGUUUCCGUUUACAUUUCCAUUCCCGUUUCCAUGAGGGAAAAAGUCUUUCCUCUUUUUUCCGUUGGUAGUAGAUAGGUCCAAUAAAUCACCGUUGGUGUGGUUAGACAGAGGAGUUGACAAAUUCAGUCCAGAUCCAUUAAGCAGCUUCUUUGGGUGUCCAUUUGCAGCACUCUUGAUUGAAGGAAGAGGUCUCUCAAGCUCAAAGUCAGUGUUGGGAAGAUUUCUCCAUGAACUGAAAUCACUUGCUUCAGUUGGGACUGUGAAAUUCAAAUCUCGGCCGGUGAGUUCAAUCCACCUUUUACGAUCAUCCUCAUCAAGAUUCAUCAGAUUGGGUGAAGGAAAAACCUCAAUGCCAUGCACACAUUGGGGGUUUGAAAGUCCUCUAUAAUGCUUCCUUUGCAUCCGGUGAGAUCGAACAAAACCUUUGUCAACACUAAAAGGAAACGGGCGCUCCCCUUGGCGAGAAUGGCCAUUCAUGUAACUCCUCAAUUGCAUCUUACCCAAAGCAUUUUCAGGCCUCUCCUUGAAAACCCACAUGUACAUAUUUUCCAUGUCAUGCUGAACCAUGAAAACAUCAAGAUUGAGAUCAGAUUUCUCAAAACCAGAAAUGCCAUUGCUGUCCCUGACAAUCUUGGCCUUAGAUUUAUCAUUCAACGCCGGCUUAAAGUAAAAACUAAAGAAAAACCAAGCACCCCAUAUGCUAUCAAUUCGCUUAGCACAUUUCCUUCCAACUUUGGACAGAGUGAGAAAAGUCUCGGUAUCAUACCCUUGAGUACCAAGACCAACAUCCAAAAUAUCACAAGGGUCAGAAAUCCAUGACUGUGGCGGAGGUGGGCUACGUUCGGCAGAAAGAGGCAAAUUAAUAUCGGGCGGACGAGAAAGUCUGAUUUGUCGAUUCAUCUCCAAGUCAAUUUCCUCAGGAGAAGAUGCACUUGAAUCCAUGGACAAUAGCGUAGAAGGGUGAUGAUUCUCCAUUGACAAAGAAGCAAAACAGGAAUCGCCAAUGCUACCUCAUCAUCAUCAUCAUCUUGUUGAUGAGUUUCAUUGCUGGUUGAUACAAUAUUGCCAUCCCAAAAAUAAUUCAACAAAAUGGUAACAUACUUAUAAACAACUUCAUCAUCAUCAUAUCAAUCCCCACUAUAUCUCCCUUCCAUCAAACCCCUAUAUUUAUCAAUUCAAUUUGUGAGGAAACAAAAAACAAAUAAAAAAAAUCAACAAACCCAAACUAUGUAAAAUA